rnacentral:rRNA from 1 species
GACAGAGGGUGCAAACGUUGUUCGGAAUUACUGGGCGUAAAGCGAGUGUAGGCGGUUUGGUAAGUCGGAUGUGAAAGCCCCGGGCUCAACCCGGGAAGUGCACUCGAUACUGCCAAGCUAGAGUAUCGGAGAGGUUGGUGGAAUUCUCGGUGUAGAGGUGAAAUUCGUAGAUAUCGAGAGGAACACCGGUGGCGAAGGCGGCGACCUGGUCCGAUACUGACGCUGAGGCGCGAAAGCGUGGGGAGCAAACAGG